UACGUAGGGCGCAAGCGUUGUCCGGAAUUAUUGGGCGUAAAGAGCUCGUAGGCGGUUUGUCACGUCGGAUGUGAAAGCCCGGGGCUUAACCCCGGGUCUGCAUUCGAUACGGGCAGACUAGAGUGUGGUAGGGGAGAUCGGAAUUCCUGGUGUAGCGGUGAAAUGCGCAGAUAUCAGGAGGAACACCUAUGGCGAAGGCAGCACUCUGGGACGGUACUGACGCUGAGACGCGAAAGCGUGGGGAGCGAACAGG
rnacentral:rRNA from 1 species